rnacentral:snRNA from 1 species
GCUUGGAAAGAUACAGAGAAGGUUAGCAUUACUCCUGCGUAGGGGUGAUUUGCAAAUUUGUGAAUCUUCCCAUAAAAAG